rnacentral:rRNA from 1 species
CCGGGAAACCGGAGCUAAUACCGGAUAGUAUCUUGAACCGCAUGGUUCAAGUUGGAAAGACGGUUUCGGCUGUCACUUACAGAUGGGCCCGCGGCGCAUUAGCUAGUUGGUGAGGUAAUGGCUCACCAAGGCAACGAUGCGUAGCCGACCUGAGAGGGUGAUCGGCCACACUGGGACUGAGACACGGCCCAGACUCCUACGGGAGGCAGCAGUAGGGAAUCUUCCGCAAUGGACGAAAGUCUGACGGAGCAACGCCGCGUGAGUGAUGAAGGUUUUCGGAUCGUAAAACUCUGUUGUUAGGGAAGAACAAGUGCGAGAGUAACUGCUCGCACCUUGACGGUACCUAACCAGAAAGCCACGGCUAACUACGUGCCAGCAGCCGCGGUAAUACGUAGGUGGCAAGCGUUGUCCGGAAUUAUUGGGCGUAAAGCGCGCGCAGGCGGUUUCUUAAGUCUGAUGUGAAAGCCCCCGGCUCAACCGGGGAGGGUCAUUGGAAACUGGGAAACUUGAGUGCAGAAGAGGAGAGUGGAAUUCCACGUGUAGCGGUGAAAUGCGUAGAGAUGUGGAGGAACACCAGUGGCGAAGGCGACUCUCUGGUCUGUAACUGACGCUGAGGCGCGAAAGCGUGGGGAGCGAACAGGAUUAGAUACCCUGGUAGUCCACGCCGUAAACGAUGAGUGCUAAGUGUUAGAGGGUUUCCGCCCUUUAGUGCUGCAGCUAACGCAUUAAGCACUCCGCCUGGGGAGUACGGUCGCAAGACUGAAACUCAAAGGAAUUGACGGGGGCCCGCACAAGCGGUGGAGCAUGUGGUUUAAUUCGAAGCAACGCGAAGAACCUUACCAGGUCUUGACAUCCUUUGCCACUUCUAGAGAUAGAAGGUUCCCCUUCGGGGGACAAAGUGACAGGUGGUGCAUGGUUGUCGUCAGCUCGUGUCGUGAGAUGUUGGGGUUAAGUCCCGCAACGAGCGCAACCCUUGAUCUUAGUUGCCAGCAUUCAGUUGGGCACUCUAAGGUGACUGCCGGUGAAAACCGGAGGAAAGGGGGGGGAUGA